rfam:Meleagris gallopavo isolate NT-WF06-2002-E0010 breed Aviagen turkey brand Nicholas breeding stock chromosome 1, whole genome shotgun sequence.
GCCUAGGCUUUUCUGAAAGCCAGCUAAUUUACAAUGAAUAUUGUUGU